GUGCGAGUGGUGGAAUGGCAGACACGCGGGACUUAGGAUCCCGUGGCGCAAGCCUUGCAGGUUUAAGUCCUGUCUCGCCGCCA
rnacentral:tRNA from 1 species